rnacentral:rRNA from 1 species
UACCUGCAGCUCAAGUGGUGAUCGUUAUUAUUGGGCCUAAAACGUCCGUAGCCGGUCUUGUAAAUGCCUGGGUAAAUCGUAUGGCUUAACUAUACGAAUUCCGGGUAGACUGUUAGACUUGAGACCGGGAGAAGCUAGAGGUACUCCUGGGGUAGAGGUGAAAUUCUGUAAUCCUAGGGGGACCACCAGUGGCGAAGGCGUCUAGCUAGAACGGGUCUGACGGUGAGGGACGAAGCCCUGGGGCGCAAACGGGAUUAGAUACCCCCGGUAGUCCAGGGUGUAAACGCUGCUUGCUUGAUGUUAGUCUGGCUCCGAGCCAGAUUAGUGUCGGAGAGAAGUUGUUAAGCAAGCUGCCUGGGAAGUACGGCCGCAAGACUGAAACUUAAAGGAAUUGGCGGGGGAGCACAGCAACGGGUGGAGCGUGCGGUUU